rnacentral:rRNA from 1 species
UACGUAGGGUGCAAGCGUUGUCCGGAAUCAUUGGGCGUAAAGAGCGUGUAGGCGGCCCGAUAAGUCCGCCGUGAAAGCCCAGGGCUCAACCCUGGAAGGCCGGUGGAAACUGUCGGGCUAGAGUCCGGAAGAGGCGAGUGGAAUUCCCGGUGUAGCGGUGAAAUGCGCAGAUAUCGGGAGGAACACCAAUGGCGAAGGCAGCUCGCUGGGACGGUACUGACGCUGAGACGCGAAAGCGUGGGGAGCAAACAGG